rnacentral:rRNA from 1 species
UUCCGGUUGAUCCUGCCGGACCUGACUGCUAUCGGAUUGAUACUAAGCCAUGCGAGUCAUUGUAGUAAUACAAGGCAGACGGCUCAGUAACGCGUAGUCAACCUACCCUAUGGACGAGGAUAAUCUCGGGAAACUGAGGAUAAUACUCGAUAGACCAUUAUGCCUGGAACGGUUUAUGGUUAAAAUGAUUCGUCGCCAUAGGAUGGGACUGCGGCCUAUCAGCUUGUUGGUGAGGUAAUGGCCCACCAAGGCGAUUACAGGUACGGGCUCUGAGAGGAGAAGCCCGGAGAUGGGUACUGAGACAAGGACCCAGGCCCUAUGGGGCGCAGCAGGCGAGAAAACUUUGCAAUGUGCGAAAGCACGACAAGGUUAGUCCGAGUGAUUUCUGCUAAAGAAAUCUUUUGCAAGUCAUAAAACCACUAGUGAAUAAGGGGUGGGCAAGUUCUGGUGUCAGCCGCCGCGGUAAAACCAGCACCUCAAGUGGUCAGGAUGAUUAUUGGGCCUAAAGCAUCCGUAGCCGGCUCUGUUAGUUUUCGGUUAAAUCUAUGUGCUCAACGCAUGGGCUGCCGAAAAUACUGCAGGGCUAGGGAGUGGGAGAGGUAGACGGUACUCGGUAGGAAGGGGUAAAAUCCUUUGAUCUAUCGAUGACCACCUGUGGCGAAGGCGGUCUACCAGAACACGUUCGACGGUGAGGGAUGAAAGCUGGGGGAGCAAACCGGAUUAGAUACCCGGGUAGUCCCAGCUGUAAACGAUGCAGACUCGAUGAUGCAUUGGCUUAUUGCCAAUGCAGUGUCGCAGGGAAGCCGUUAAGUCUGCCGCCUGGGAAGUACGUACGCAAGUAUGAAACUUAAAGGAAUUGGCGGGGGAGCACCACAAGGGGUGAAGCCUGCGGUUCAAUUGGAUUCAACGCCGGG